rnacentral:misc_RNA from 1 species
GAUGAAGAACGUAGCGAAAUGCGAUAAGUAAUGUGAAUUGCAGAAUUCAGUGAAUCAUCGAGUCUUUGAACGCACAUUGCGCCCCCUGGUAUUCCGGGGGGCAUGCCUGUCCGAGCGUCAUUGCUGCCCUCAAGCACGGCUUGUGUGUUGGGCCCCCGCCCCCCGGCUUCGGGAGGCGGGCCCGAAAGGCAGCGGCGGCACCGCGUCCGGUCCUCGAGCGUAUGGGGCUUCGUCACCCGCUCUGUAGGCCCGGCCGGCGCCCGCCGGCGACCCCAAUCAAUCUUUCCAGGUUGACCUCGGAUCAGGUAGGGAUACCCGCUGAACUUAAGCAUAUCAAUAAGCGGAGGA